UACGUAGGGGGCAAGCGUUGUCCGGAAUCAUUGGGCGUAAAGAGCGCGUAGGCGGCCCUGUAAGUCCGCUGUGAAAGUCAAGGGCUCAACCCUUGAAUGCCGGUGGAUACUGCAGAGCUUGAGUGCCGGAGAGGGUGGCGGAAUUCCCCAAGUAGAGGUGAAAUUCGUAGAUAUGGGGAGGAACACCGGUGGCGAAGGCGGCCACCUGGACGGUAACUGACGCUGAGACGCGAAAGCGUGGGGAGCAAACAGG
rnacentral:rRNA from 1 species